rnacentral:rRNA from 1 species
CUCUUCUUGUAUGUUUAAGAGGUAUGACCUGCCCACUGAUAGUUAUUGAAGGGCCGCGGUAUUUUGACCGUGCAAAGGUAGCAUAAUCAUUAGUCUCUUAAUUAGAGGCUGGAAUGAAUGGUUGGACGAAAUAUAAGCUGUCUUAUUUUUAAUAGUAGAAUUUAAUUAUUAAGUAAAAAAGCUUAAAUAAUUUUUUGGGACGAGAAGACCCUAUAGAGUUUAAUAUUUCUAAUAGUAUUUAUUGUUUGAUAUUUUAUAUAUUAUUUAUAUAUUUUAUUGGGGUGAUAAGAAGAUACAAUUAACUCUUCUUUUUGAUUAAUAUUGAUUUAUAGGUUUUUGAUCCAUUUUUAGUGAUUAUAAGACUAAAUUACCUUAGGGAUAACAGCGUAAUCUUUUUUGAGAGUUCAUAUCGACAAUAAGGGUUGCGACCUCGAUGUUGGAUUAAGAUUAAUAUUGGGUGUAGAAGUUCAAUAUAUUAAGUCUGUUCGACUUUUAAUAUCUUACA